AAAGGGGGCAACCCCCGGUAGCGUGGCAGACGGGUGAGUAACACGUGGGUAACCUACCCGGAGGUGGGGGAUAACCCUUCGAAAGGAGGGCUAAUACCGCAUGACACCGCAGGGACCUCGGUCCUUGUGAUCAAAGCUGGCCUCUGUUUACAAGCUAGCGCCACCGGAUGGGCCCGCGCCCCAUUAGCUAGUUGGUGAGGUAACGGCUCACCAAGGCUACGAUGGGUAGCCGGCCUGAGAGGGCGAUCGGCCACACUGGAACUGCGACACGGUCCAGACUCCUACGGGAGGCAGCAGUGAGGAAUCUUGCGCAAUGGGCGAAAGCCUGACGCAGCGACGCCGCGUGGAGGAUGAAGGUCUUCGGAUUGUAAACUCCUGUCGAGUGGGACGAAUGCCGUGAGGGUGAACAAUCCUCGCGGUUGACGGUACCGCUGGAGGAAGCCCCGGCUAACUCCGUGCCAGCAGCCGCGGUAAUACGGAGGGGGCUAGCGUUGUUCGGAAUCAUUGGGCGUAAAGGGCGCGUAGGCGGCCGAUCAAGUCGGAGGUGAAAUCCCUCGGCUCAACUGAGGAAUUGCCUUCGAUACUGUUCGGCUUGAGUCCUGGAGAGGGUAGCGGAAUUCCCGGUGUAGCGGUGAAAUGCGUAGAGACCGGGAAGAACACCAGUGGCGAAGGCGGCUACCUGGACAGGUACUGACGCUGAAGCGCGAAAGCUAGGGGAGCAAACAGGAUUAGAUACCCUGGUAGUCCUAGCUGUAAACGAUGGGCACUUGGUUGUUGCGGGUAUCGACCCCUGCAGUG
rnacentral:rRNA from 1 species